GGGAAUUGGAGUUUUGUGGAGGGGACUUUUGGGAGUUGGAGUUAUUGUCCCCGUUGUUCUGGGAAGAGGGAGAUUUUUGGGAGUUGGAGUUUUGUGGGGGUGACUUUUGGGAAUUGGAGUUUUUGUCCCCUCCAUUGUUCUGAGAAGGAGGAGAUUUUUGAGAGUUGGAGUUUUGUGGAGGGGACUUUUGGGAAUUGGAGUUAUUGUUCAAGUUGUUGUCGUUUGAGUUAUUGUUGUCGUUUGAGUCUGAGUUUCCAUUUGAGUCGCCGUUCGAGUUUCCAUUCGAGGAGUCGCCGUUCGAGUUUCCAUUCGAGGAGUCGCCGUUCGAGUUUCCAUUCGAGUUGCCAUUUGAAUUGCCA
rnacentral:lncRNA from 1 species